UUUUUUGAGGAAGCCUUAGUUUUUUCCAUUUCCACUACAAAAAACAAUACAGGUAAAGGAAAAAUUAAUGAUAAUCAUGAAUUUGAUAUAGGUCUUCAUAAAAUUAAUUCCAUGCCAAUAAUUAAAAGCUCAUGCUAGUUUUAGCCAAGUGUUGUGACUAUGCCACAACCAAACAGAAAAAUAGAGGAUAGGGGGGAAGAA
rnacentral:misc_RNA from 1 species